rnacentral:lncRNA from 1 species
AUUGAUGUUAACUCCAUUUUGCAGAUGAAGAAACAGGCGCAGAAAUGCAAAGGUCCCACUGAUAACAAAUGGAUCUAUUUCCAAAGCCUGUGUGCUUAAAUGUUAUAUAUACUACCACCCACUGGACUAGUUUUAGUCAUAGCUGUGUCAGAAAUUUACUGAGUGGCUCUGACCAAGUCGCUUAUUUUCCCUUAGUUUCACUUGUCUUUAACUGUGCAAGACUGAAGUUGAACAUUAAAAGGGACUCACAGUUCUGAACUAUAUCUUAUCUAUCUUCCUAAUCUCCAAAACAUUUUUAUCGAAGUCUCAAUUUUUUUAGAAUCUUGAGAAGUCCUCUAUCCUACUGGUAAAAAUUGCUUAUUUGAAGGAAAGUAUCCCAUGAUCUGCCUUUGAAGGCUUCAGUUUUAAUAAGGGAAAACUGAACAUCUUAGGAAGUGUUAAAAAAAGUAAUUGAAAAGACUAAUAGUAUGACAGUAUAAGGAGUUCUGAUGACUCACUUCUCAGUGAAACUGGAGGAAAGUAGUUUUUACAACCACUUGUAACCUUUGGAAAUGGUCCGAAGAACAAACAUUGAGCUACAUUCUCAGCCCAUUAUAUUUUUACUUAUUUUUUGAUACUUGAGAUUGAUCCAAGGGAGCUUUACCACUAAGCUACAUCCCCCAGCUUUUUAAUUUUAUAUUUUGAGACAGGAUUUUGAUAACUUGAUCAAGGACUUACUAAAUUGCUAAGGUUGGCCUCAAACUUGUGAUCCUCCUGCUUAAUCCUCCUGAGUCACUGGGAUUAUAAUCGUACAUCAGCAUGCCCAGAAAAACUGUUUGCAAAAAAUUUAAGUCCAAUUCUGUUCUCCUACUGCAACAUUCUUAUGAUUUGGAUAUGUGGUAUCCCUCUAAAGCUCAUGUGUGAGACAAUGCUAGAAAUUUCAGAGGUGAAAUAUUAGUUUAUGAGAGAUGUAAACUAAUCACUGAUAUGGAUUGACUGGACAAUAAUUGCAGGCAGAUAGAAUGUGGCUGGAGUGGGUAGGUCAUUAGGGGUGUGACUUUGAGGUUUCUGUUUUGUUUCUGGUGAGCAGAACUCUCUUUCUGCUUCCUUGUUGCCCUGACCUAAGCUGCUUUCCUCUGCCAUGCCCUUCUUUUUAAAAAAUUUAUUUAUUAGUUUUAAUCAGUUAUACAAGACAGUAGAAAGCUCUUUGAUUCAUUGCACACAAAUGGAGCAGAAUUUUUUACUUCUUUGGUUGUGCAUGAAGUAACAUCACACCAUUUGUGCAAUCAUACAUGUACCUAGGGUAACCAUGUCCGUCUCAUUCCACCAUCUUUCCUUCCCCUUUGCUCCCUCCUCCUCCCCUUUGCCCCAACCAAAGUUCCUCAACUCUUCCCACCUGCCCCCAUGAGAUUAGCACCCAUUGAUCACAGAAAACAUUCAGCUCCUGUUUUUUUGAGAUUGGCUUAUUUUGCUUAGCAUGAUAUUCUCUGACUCCAUCCAUUUACCUGCAAAUGCCAUAAUUUUAUUCUCUUUUAAUGCUGAGUAAUAUUCCAUUGUGUAUAUGUACCACAGUUUCUUUAUCCAUUUAUCUACUGAAGGGCAUCUAGGUUGCUUCCACAGUUUAGCUAUUGUGAAUUGUACUGCUAUAAACAUUGAUGUGGCUGUGUCCCUAUAGUAUUCUGUUUUUAAGUCCUUUGGGUAUAGAUUGAGGAGUGGGAUAGCUGGUCAAAUGGUGGUUCCAUUCUCAGUUUUCCAAGGACUCUUCAUAUUUCAUAUUGAUUCUGUCUAUCCAAAAACAUGGGGUGUCUUCCCA